UGGGCAUUUGAUACAACUGAUUUGGGCACACACCACGUUCCGUUCGUCGAUGGAGAUGGAGAUGGAGUGGCCGGAGUUUUGGGGGUUGCCGGUGCCGGAGUAGUGUUCUUUAAGCAUGAUUUACAAGUUAUGUUAAACAAACCGUUUUUGUUACCACAACACUAUAAUUUUUGCCACUGAUACUGAAAAUAAAAUGAAAGAAAACUAUGCUCUCAAAUCAUAAAUAAUUGGCACAGUUUUCUUCCAGACAGUUUCUCACCUGGGCGCCCUUGGAGAGGCCAACAUCAUAGGUCAUGGUGAGAUCAGUCUUAAAAAGCCCAAAUGCGCGCUCUGAGCCCGGCCCAGGUUUCAGGUCCUCGUCGUAGAGUGCAAACAGAUAUGUAUCCACUGAUUUCCCAGGCAUCAAGGGCGUUCCCACCAGUGACCUCAGGUGCGAGAUCAGGUUCCCAUUGUAAGCCUUGGCAUUUUCAAUACUUGGGCCUACCUCGUUGCUGUCUCCUUUGUAGGGCCAGCCCGUCUCCGCAACCACUAUCUCAAUUUCCUUGAAGCCCAUCGAGUUCAAUGCAGCUCGAACAGCGUCCACCUGAAACAAGCCCAGCCCAAAACUUAAUCUCAGCCCGGUUCACUUGCAUAGAGGGUCCAGAUGUUGGACUCACCUGGGCAUCGAACAUAUUCAUGUACUUGAUAUUAGUCCCAGAGUCGAAACGUCCGGAGUUGGGUUGAAAAAGACAAAAAGCCAGCGUUUCAGGUCUGUGGUCGCUCCGGUAUGCGAAGUAAGGGUAUGGAUUGAUCGCGAAUGGCGAACCAGUGGCUUUGUUAAACCCUAACAGUCCUUUCAUCAGGUCCCCGAAGCUCGGAUCGAAACUUCCAGAAGAAGGCGGUUCAGAUUGCUUC
rnacentral:lncRNA from 1 species